rnacentral:rRNA from 1 species
UACGAAGGGGGCUAGCGUUGUCCGGAAUUAUUGGGCGUAAAGAGCUCGUAGGCGGCCUGUUGCGUCCGCUGUGAAAUCCCGGGGCUCAACCCUGGGCGUGCAGUGGAUACGGGCAGGCUGGAGGCAGGCAGGGGAGAACGGAAUUCCCGGUGUAGCGGUGAAAUGCGUAGAUAUCUGGAGGAACACCGGUGGCGAAGGCGGCAUCCUGGACCGACACUGACGCUGAGGCGCGAAAGCUAGGGGAGCAAACGGGG